rnacentral:lncRNA from 1 species
AUGCCCGAAUCCCCUCCAAAUUGCUGCAAAACACCCCAAACUGGGAGCCGACCGGGGCCCCCCCCGCGUUCCCCUUCCGAAAGAAGGUCAGAAAGGAGGCGGUCAGGCGCGGGGGGGAAAUUAGGAAACCCUUUAUUUCAACCGAGAGUAUUACAAGAAACCCAGAAAGGCGGGAAAACACACGUCGGAAUUCUGCAGGCGUCGAGCAAGCGGGUCGCGGCCCCGCACGAGCCUCCUACCGAACAGGAACGAAAAUAUAUUAACUCUGAACACCCCCGCGCUGGGCUACGGGAGACGUCGACAUUCAGCGGAAAGCGGGUUAACGCGGCCGUUCCCGGCUUUCGGCACCCGGAGAGAGCGGCUGCGGGGCGAUCCGGCGCCUCCUUCCCAAAAAUUUUGGGGAAAAAGCCGAGACGGGCUCUGAGCUCGGUGAAUAAAAACACAAAUGGCUCCCCGCUUCCAAAAAACCUCCGUUUAAAGCCGUGCAUCUCCCGGAAAAGCAGCGGUUUUAUCACCUUUACGAGGCGGGAAGCUCCCGGGAAUGCUGAUUGCAGGGAAGAGCCGGAGAUUUUUUUUCCUCCCCCCACCCCGUUCAGGGCACGGCCACACGUUUCUUUGGUAAAAUGGCCCAAUUCGCCGCUGGCUUGCGGGAGAUGCCGGCGGGAAGCACGGCCUCGGCCAGCGCUGGGCAGGGCCGGACCCGCUGCCCCGAAAUUCGGGAGCUCCCACGUUACCGACAGCCCGGCGGCAGCAGGAAGGAGGGAGCAAAGGCAGCGCCGGCGAGAGCAGCUCGGCAGCAGCCGCCGGGGCCAAAGAGACCUAAGAGAAGCCAAAAAUCCAGGCACCGGGAAAGACUCGACUCCGGUGCAAAAGCGGCAAAACGUUGCGAGUCGCCAGUGCCGAUCGAUGCCGUUUCCGAGACCGAACGCUGCYGCCGGCUGCCCGCGGGCAUCGCCCCAAGGAGCCCGGCUCGGGGCCGAGCGGUUCGGUGCUCUAAAAAUCCUCGGUGCCUUGAAAGACGAUGCAGAAACCCGGAGCUCGAGCAAUUCCCGGCCCGCGGCGCGGAGGCAGCAGGGAUUUGGGGGCAGCUUCACCUAUUGCCGCAGCUCCGUUAAAGCCUCGCGCCGCCCUCCCUGCCCCGGGGAGGGGGAAAAGCAAAAAAAAAAAAGGUGA